rnacentral:rRNA from 1 species
ACACUGACGUCGCGACGCAUAUCAAUAAGCGGAGGAAAAGAAACUAACAAGGAUUCCCCUAGUAACGGCGAGUGAAGCGGGAAGAGCUCAAAUUUGAAAUCUUCAAGGUUUGACCUUGACGAAUUGUAGUUUAAAGAAGUGUUUUCUGUUGGAGUUUUGGUAAAAGUUCUUUGGAAUAGGACAUCAUAGAGGGUGAGAAUCCCGUAUUUGGUCAUUCCUUCUAGCUUUGUGAUACACUUUCAAAGAGUCGGAUUGUUUGGGAAUGCAGUCCAAAAUGGGUGGUAAAUUUCAUCUAAAGCUAAAUAUUGGCGAGAGACCGAUAGCGAACAAGUACCGUGAGGGAAAGAUGAAAAGAACUUUGAAAAGAGAGUUAAACAGUACGUGAAAUUGUCAAAAGGGAAGCGUUUGACACCAGUGUUGUUUUUCCGAAAAUCAAUUAUAAAUGUUUUGUUUCUGAGGAGUGAUGACCUCAUCGGCUUCCUUCUCUCUUCACGAAACUUUUGUAAUGCACUUUUCGGUUAACAAGUCAACAUCAAUUUCUUUUGUUGUAAAAGAGUAUUCGGAAGGUGGCUUUAUUUUCGGCUGAAAGUGUUUAUAGCCCUAUACUUCCCUACAAGUCGGAGAGAUUGAGGUCUGCAGCGUAGAUCCUUCGGGGCUAGAUACACUUUGUGCUAAGUUAUAGCCUUUUCAUAGACAACUUGUUGACUAUGAUUCAGUCAUGUAGGCUUACUCGCUUAUGCUAUUUUACCUACGCUUAGGAUGUUGAGUCGUAGAGCACGCAG